rnacentral:rRNA from 1 species
UCAGUAACACGUAGUCAACCUGCCCUCGGGUCGUGAAUAAUCUCGGGAAACUGAGGCUAAUGAACGAUAGGUCAAGAUUCCUGGAAUGGAUUUUGGUCUAAAUGGCGCGACAGCAUCUUGGCGUGUCCGCCCGAGGAUGGGACUGCGGCCGAUCAGGCUGUUGGUGGGGUAAAGGCCCACCAAACCAGUAACCGGUACGGGCUUUGAGAGAAGGAGCCCGGAGAUGGACACUGAGACAAGGGUCCAGGUCCUACGGGGCGCAGCAGGCGCGAAACCUUCGCAAUGCGCGCAAGCGCGACGAGGUUAUUCCGAGUGAUUUCCGCUGAGGAAAUCUUUUCUUAGAUCUAAAAAGUCUGGGGAAUAAGGGGAGGGCAAGUCUGGUGCCA